AGUGAACGCUGGCGGUAGGCCUAACACAUGCAAGUCGAACGGCAGCACAGUAAGAGCUUGCUCUUACGGGUGGCGAGUGGCGGACGGGUGAGGAAUACAUCGGAAUCUACUUUUUCGUGGGGGAUACCGUAGGGAAACUUACGCUAAUACCGCAUACGACCUACGGGUGAAAGCAGGGGAUCUUCGGACCUUGCGCGAUUGAAUGCGCCGAUGUCGGAUUAGCUAGUUGGCGGGGUAAAGGCCCACCAAGGCGACGAUCCGUAGCUGGUCUGAGAGGAUGAUCAGCCACACUGGAACUGAGACACGGUCCAGACUCCUACGGGAGGCAGCAGUGGGGAAUAUUGGACAAUGGGCGCAAGCCUGAUCCAGCCAUACCGCGUGGGUGAAGAAGGCCUUCGGGUUGUAAAGCCCUUUUGUUGGGAAAGAAAAGCAGCAGGUUAAUACCCCGCUGUUCUGACGGUACCCAAAGAAUAAGCACCGGCUAACUUCGUG
rnacentral:rRNA from 1 species